GUCUACGGCCAUGCCACCCUGAACGAGCCCGAUCCCAUCUGAUCUCGGAAGCUAAGCAGGGCCUGGCCUGGUUAGUACUUGGAUGGGAGACCACCUAGGAAGACCAGGUACUAUAGGUG
rnacentral:rRNA from 1 species